ACGUAGGUGGCAAGCGUUGUCCGGAUUUACUGGGCGUAAAGCGCGCGCAGGCGGUGAAUGAAGUCGAAAGUGAAAGCCCCGGGCUCAACUCGGGAACUGCUUUCGAAACCAGUUCACUUGAAGGCGGAAGAGGGAAGUGGAAUUCCGAGUGUAGUGGUGGAAUGCGUAGAUAUUCGGAAGAACACCAGAGGCGAAGGCGACUUCCUGGUCCGAUCUUGACGCUGAGGCGCGAAAGCUAGGGGAGCAAACGGG
rnacentral:rRNA from 1 species